rnacentral:sRNA from 1 species
UGAAAUAUAAGUGUCAUCGAAUACGUUGCAUGAGCGUAACCGAUUUCCCCGUUCUCCCGGCGCGUCCUGGUGCCACAGGUGUUUCCUCCCUCGCCUGGUUGGCGAUGCGCCCGCUUGCCCCGCUUUCGUGAAAACGAAAGCGGGGCUUUUU